rnacentral:rRNA from 1 species
GACGAACGCUGGCGGCGUGCUUAACACAUGCAAGUCGAACGGACAGGCCCUACUUUUGUUUGGUGCUCGAGUGGCUAACGGGUGAGUAACACGUGAGUAACCUUCCCUUACCUGUGGGAUAACUUCAGGAAACUGGGGCUAAUACCGGAUAGGAGCUCCUGCUGUUUAUUGUUGGUUGGAAAGUUACGGCGGUUGGGGAUGGAAUCGCGGCUUAUCAGCUUGUUGUUGUGGUAGUGGCUUGGCAAGGUAUUGACGGGUCGCCGGACUGAGAGGGUGACCGGCCACAGUGGGACUGAGAUACGGCCCAGACUCCUACGGGAGGCAGCGGUGGGGAAUAUUGCACAAUGGGCGGAAGCCUGAUGCAGCAACGCCGCGUGCGGGAUGACGGCCUUCGGGUUGUAAACCGCUUUCGCCUGUGACGAAGCGUGAGUGACGGUAAUGGGUAAAGAAGCAACGGCUAACUACGUG